rnacentral:rRNA from 1 species
GAUGAACGCUAGCGGGAGGCCUAACACAUGCAAGCCGAGCGGUAUUUCUUCUUCGGAAGAGAGAGAGCGGCGCACGGGUGCGUAACACGUGUGCAACCUACCUUUAUCUGGGGGACAGCCUUUCGAAAGGAAGAUUAACACCCCAUAAUAUAUUGAAUGGCAUCAUUUGAUAUUGAAAACUCCGGUGGAUAAAGAUGGGCACGCGCAAGAUUAGAUAGUUGGUGAGGUAACGGCUCACCAAGUCAAUGAUCUUUAGGGGUCCUGAGAGGGAGAUCCCCCACACUGGUACUGGGACACGGACCAGACUCCUACGGGAGGCAGCAGUGAGGAAUAUUGGACAAUGGGUGAAAGCCUGAUCCAGCCAUCCCGCGUGAAGGAUGGCGGUCCUAUGGAUUGUAAACUUCUUUUGUACAGGAAUAAACCUACUCUCGUGAGAGUAGCUGAAGGUACUGUACGAAUAAGCACCGGCUAACUCCGUGCCAGCCGCCGCUGUAA